rnacentral:rRNA from 1 species
UGGGGAAUAUUCCGCAAUGGACGAAAGUCUGACGGAGCAACGCCGCGUGAGUGAUGAAGGUUUUCGGACUGUAAAGCUCUGUUGUUUAGGACGAAAGUGCCUGUUGCGAACAGUUACAGGUAUUGACGGUACUAAACGAGGAAGCCACGGCUAACUACGUGCCAGCAGCCGCGGUAAUACAUAGGUGGCAAGCGUUGUCCGGAAUUAUUGGGCGUAAAGAGCAUGUAGGCGGAGAUUUAAGUCUGUUGUGAAAAUGCGGGGCUCAACCCCGUAUUGCGAUGGAAACUGAAUUUCUUGAGUGCAGGAGAGGAAAGGGGAAUUCCCAGUGUAGCGGUGAAAUGCGUAGAUAUUGGGAGGAACACCAGUGGCGAAGGCGCCUUUCUGGACUGUGUCUGACGCUGAGAUGCGAAAGCCAGGGUAGCGAACG